UUAGGAAUAUUGGACAAUGGGGGAAACCCUGAUCCAGCCAUGCCGCGUGAGUGAUGAAGGCCUUCGGGUUGUAAAGCUCUUUUACCUGCGAAGAUAAUGACUGUAGCAGGAGAAUAAGCCCCGGCAAACUUCGUGCCAGCAGCCGCGGUAAUACGAAGGGGGCUAGCGUUGUUCGGAUUUACUGGGCGUAAAGGGCGUGUAGGCGGUUUGGUAAGUUAGGCGUGAAAGCCCUGGGCUCAACCUAGGAAUUGCGCUUAAGACUGCCAAGCUAGAGUUCGGGAGAGGUGAGUGGAAUUCCCAGUGUAGAGGUGAAAUUCGUAGAUAUUGGGAAGAACACCAGUGGCGAAGGCGGCUCACUGGACCGAAACUGACGCUGAGGCGCGAAAGCGUGGGGAGCAAA
rnacentral:rRNA from 1 species